AUCACAUCCUCCAAGGGUUUUAACUUUUAGCCAAUUUUUAAAGAAAUUCUGUUGAAGUGAUUAAGCUCAAGGUUUUGUGGUUUUAAUUAACAUCUAAGCUUACCUAAGGCUAAGGGGCAGUCGGGGAUGCAGUGGGUUGAAUUUGGCCCAGUCGAUGCUAUAAGGACAGUUUGGAUCCAG